GCCUGCUUCUGCAGCGCUAAUAGUAAAACUGGAACAAAUCAAAGAAGAUCGCGUGGCUCCUGCACAAGAAUGGCGUUUGUGGAGUGUUCCAUGUUUUU
rnacentral:snRNA from 1 species